rnacentral:lncRNA from 1 species
ACCAAACCACUUCAUCUCCUCAGUCUCUCUCGUCUCAGACCUAAAUCCUAGAGAACCCGCCGCACUGAAAUUCCUAAGCCAUCUCCGGCGGCGGCCUGGCCCAAUCAACCCCAAAUUCCUCCUCCACAAUCCGCACACCCCAUGGAAUAUUAAUACAACACCACAUAUCCUCAAAUCCUCACCAAAUCGGAAUAGUUUUGGAUCUAAAAAAAAGAAGAAGGAAAAGAAAAAUCUCCCAAGUCUUCGAGCUUCCAAGAACAAUUAAGGUUAAAACUUGUAUUAUUCGUUUGUUCUCAACGAAAACAUGCGAUUAAUACCAAUUUUGCCUCAAAUCGGGAAACGCCAGAGUUCUGUUCAAGCCAGUCCAUCUGCCUUUUAGGUAUCCCUAUUCAUUUUUUAUUUUCAUCCUUUGUUUAUUUCCCAUCUUCGUCCACUUCUUAUUCCUUCCCUUUUCUUUCUUAUUUUUCUGAUUUAAAUCAUUUUGGUUCGCAUGUUAGGAUCUAGUUAUGUUAGUUUACAGUUUUAGCUUAAUAAUAUGUUCAUUAUUGUUAGUUCAUUUGAUUUCGUUUUGGUUUUGAUCAAAUUCUCUUUUGGUUUUGUUUCGUUGGAAUUCUGAUAUUAGGAAUUUACAACUCCAUUGGCCUGUUCUCUUGUGGGAUUUUAGUUUUAAACUGGAAUUGGGGCUUCGUAGGUCUGAAGCCCAAAGAGGGGGAAGGUCAUUUCUGGUUAAAAAGCUCGGUCAGUUGGUUUGUUUUUUUUGGUUUAAUUUGGCCCAUUCUUGAUAUUUUGAGGGUAAAUAGCAGCUGUUUAAGUUGUAGUUUAGAGAUAUAAGAUAAGGGAAUUCUUGCCUAACUAAUUAGGAAACUUCCAGGAAAGUGGGGAAGGGGUUGACCUAACAAACAGGUUGAAACUUAGGGUCCAAAAUGAAAAAUAAAAAUUGGGUAAAGGGGUAAAUGGUGAAAUACAAAAUCAUAUUUUGUUGCCAUAGGAGCUGGUUAUAUAAGGCUCAUUUUCUUUAAUUUAGGGGGGGGGGGGGUGGGGUGAUUAGAAGACUAAAAUCAGAAAACGGCUGAAAGAGUUAUUCGAAAAAAUGCCUUGAAAUUUCUGUAUCUUUUGGGGUGGAAAUUGGUUCUGAAUCUGCUCCUUAGUCAUAAGUGUUAAUUGGAAUCCAAAAGGCUUCAAGGAACUCUUGUUUAUCUCGGUUAAAAUGGUCUAAAUAGCUGAACUUUGUUGUGUUUUGGAGCUGUUGAUUCAUCUACUAUGUUGCUACUGUUGAAUCCUCAUUUUCUUUGGUUUCUUUUGAUAUUCAGGUACCCCUUUUGGACCUUAUUGAAUAUUGCAGCUCAAAAUUGAAGCAUGUAAUCAAAUGUGGAGUUUAAGCAUAAUAUUAGUUGAUUUUGUUUAGAAUCUAGCUUGUUUUCUACAUUACAUUGUUGGUUUUUACUGUAUGAUCCUUUAUACUUUGCCUAUGCUGUUGACAGUAUCGUUUAGGAAUUGGGUUUAGAGUUUAGUUUUGGUCACUUUGACUUUAAUGGGUUUAGACUCUCUUUGUCAUGUACUUAGUUUGGACUAUUGUAACAUGGUUUAUUGUAGAUGAGUAGCAUCUUCUUUUGUGAGGUCUGAUUGAAUUGUUUCAAACUAGUAAUGAUAACCAGUCUAUAAUGAGUUUUUUUCUUAUAGUCUUG